AUCCCAGGGGCAAAGGGUACCUCGUCGCCUUUGGAGGACUUGCUGUGCCCUUCAAAGUGAACUUAGAGGUUCUACACAC
rnacentral:snoRNA from 1 species